UAGGGAAUCUUCGGCAAUGGGGGCAACCCUGACCGAGCAACGCCGCGUGAGUGAAGAAGGUUUUCGGAUCGUAAAGCUCUGUUGUAAGAGAAGAACGUGUGUGAGAGUGGAAAGUUCACACAGUGACGGUAACUUACCAGAAAGGGACGGCUAACUACGUGCCAGCAGCCGCGGUAAUACGUAGGUCCCGAGCGUUGUCCGGAUUUAUUGGGAGUAAAGCGAGCGCAGGCGGUUUAAUAAGUCUGAAGUUAAAGGAAGUGGCUUAACCAUUGUUCGCUUUGGAAACUGUUAAACUUGAGUGCAGAAGGGGAGAGUGGAAUUCCAUGUGUAGCGGUGAAAUGCGUAGAUAUAUGGAGGAACACCGGUGGCGAAAGCGGCUCUCUGGUCUGUAACUGACGCUGAGGCUCGAAAGCGUGGGGAGCAAACAGG
rnacentral:rRNA from 1 species